rnacentral:rRNA from 1 species
GACGAACGCUGGCGGCGUGCCUAAUACAUGCAAGUUGAGCGAUGAAGAUUGGUGCUUGCACCAAUUUGAAGAGCAGCGAACGGGUGAGUAACGCGUGGGGAAUCUGCCUUUGAGCGGGGGACAACAUUUGGAAACGAAUGCUAAUACCGCAUAACAACUUUAAACAUAAGUUUUAAGUUUGAAAGAUGCAAUUGCAUCACUCAAAGAUGAUCCCGCGUUGUAUUAGCUAGUUGGUGAGGUAAAGGCUCACCAAGGCGAUGAUACAUAGCCGACCUGAGAGGGUGAUCAGCCACAUUGGGAGUGAGACACGGCACAAACUCCUACGGGAGGCAGCAGUAGGGAAUCUUCGGCAAUGGACGAAAGUCUGACCGAGCAACGCCGCGUGAGUGAAGAAGGUUUUCGGAUCGUAAAACUCUGUUGGUAGAGAAGAACGUGGGUGAGAGUGGAAAGCUCAUCAAGUGACGGUAACUACCCAGAAAGGGACGGCUAACUACGUG